rnacentral:lncRNA from 1 species
AUGGUUGGUUGUCAUUGUCUUAAUAGACGAGGGAGCCCAGGCUCAGAAGCUUCUGAAAUUUGCUCAGGGUCAUCAGAGAGACCUUCACCAGGACUCCAAUGGGCUCUGCCAGGCUCUGCAAAGACCUUGCUUUUUCCUUUGCAUGAGUCACCAAGAAGUCCUGGAAUGGAGUUGCUGAGUGGAAGUGGAGGCAUCAAGAUCCCGGGGGGACCUUGGAUGACGCUGGGUCCCAAGCUGAAGUAUCUGUGGAAGGUGAAGGCCACUAGGCAUUCUCCUGGUGGCCCCACAAAUACUGAGCUGUCUUGCUGCUUACAGUGGGGACAGCAAGCAGAGCAGCUGAUUUUCCUUGGAAAUGUCUACAAUUCUGGCAAAAGCUGCCCUGCGGGUGUUAUCUAUCCCUGCUAUAAGGUAAUGGGAAGGCAGUGGGAGUCAGCAUCUUAUUGGAAUGAAUACAGAAUUCAAAGAUAGUCGGACAUGUAUUCAAAUCCCAGCUCCAAGGACUCUCUUGGUGGCCCAGUGGCUAAGACUCUGCACUCCUAAUGGAGGGGGCCUGGGUUUGACCCCCAGUCAGGGAUCUAGAUCCCACAUGCUACAACUAAGAGUUCUCAUGCUUCAAUUAAAGAUCCCACAUGCCAUAACUAAGACCCAGCACAACCAAAUGAAGAAAAGAAAAGAAAAAUCCCGGCUCCAAGUCUCAAGCUGGGUAGCCUGGGUAAAGUACUUCCCACUGGCCCUUGGUUUGCUUGUCUGAAGACAAGGAUGAUCAUAAUCACCCAGCCUCCAGGGACUCCAGAGAGUGGUCACUAGAGCCAGUCAGUCAACGCACGGGGCUCAAUUCAGAGUCAGGUAGACUUGGCCUUCAUAGUUGUUGAAAUGAACAAGGGGGUAUUUGGAUGAUUCACUGCCCAAAGGAGGAAAACCAACCUAACAUCCGCCUAACAGAGGAGAGCAGCCUGCUCUGGGCCACUACUGGGGAGUUCUUCCGCUCCCCAUCCCCUUCCCCCUCAUCACUUGUUUGUGGUCUACACCACAUACAAUUUUCAUGGAUCAUAAAAUCCUCCAAGCUGGCCCCAUGUGAGCCCUUUGACAACAUUCUCAUAGCUGUCACCCAGCACCACACACAGAGAACACAUUAAGUCCCUGCUUAUUGACUGAGUCAGUGUUGGAGUCCCUGCUUGAGUCCCUGCUUUCUGGCCUUUACAGAGCUUCUAGCUACUAAUACUUGUCCUCUCACAUGGAAUCCAUUCCUUACCCAGGCCUUUUCAAACAGGGAACUUGUCCUGGGCCCCUGGCCAUUGUUUUUUUUCAGGCCUUCAUCACUUCCCAGGUGGCUCAGGUUGUGGAUUUCAUAGCAAGGCCAUAGAAUGUGAGAUCCAGACUGUUUUUUUUUCAUGGCUUCUGCCAGCCCUGCUCUU